AGGACGAACGCUGGCGGCGUGCCUAACACAUGCAAGUGGAGUGACGAACCAGGCUUCGGCCUGGGGCAAAGCCGCGAACGGGUGAGUAACACGUGGGUAACCUGCCCCGAUGAUUGGGACAACCCGAGGAAACUCGGGCUAAUACCGAAUGUGCCCUCCGACCAUAAGGUCGCUGGGGAAAGGAAGCUUCGGCCUUCGCAUCGGGAUGGGCCCGCGGCCCAUUAGCUUGUUGGUGAGGUAACGGCUCACCAAGGCAACGAUGGGUAGCUGGUCUGAGAGGGCGACCGGCCACACUGGGACUGAGACACGGCCCAGACUCCUACGGGAGGCAGCAGUGGGGGAAUAUUGCACAAUGGGGGAAACCCUGAUGCAGCGACGCCGCGUGCGGGAUGAAGGCCUUCGGUUGUAACCGCUUUCAGCAGGGGCGAAUUCAGACGGUACCUGCAGAAGAGCGCCGGCUACACGCGCCAGCAGCCGC
rnacentral:rRNA from 1 species